rnacentral:rRNA from 1 species
UACGAAGGGUGCAAGCGUUAAUCGGAAUUACUGGGCGUAAAGCGCGCGUAGGUGGUUUGUUAAGUUGGAUGUGAAAGCCCCGGGCUCAACCUGGGAACUGCAUUCAAAACUGACAAGCUAGAGUAUGGUAGAGGGUGGUGGAAUUUCCUGUGUAGCGGUGAAAUGCGUAGAUAUAGGAAGGAACACCAGUGGCGAAGGUGGCAUCCUGGACCGACACUGACACUGAGGAGCGAAAGCCAGGGGAGCAAACGGG